ACGGCAGUGGUGAAGCGGUAACACAACAGCCAUACAAAUGCGAAAAGUGGAUUUUCGCUAACAGCUAUUUCACAAUCCAAGCUGUCAAUCGUAGGUUCAAUUCCUACCUGCCGUUCCA
rnacentral:tRNA from 1 species